rnacentral:lncRNA from 1 species
ACCAGGCUGAAGUCACUUAUGUGGAGGCCCAGCUGUGAGAGUUGUCCUGGGAUGGGGGUUGGGGACAAAGCUGAUGAGGGCCAACAGCCUUUGGGAUGCAACUGUUGACCGUGUGUGCUAGGCACAACAUAACAUGAUCCAUUUAAUAUGCACACGGUAAGUUUCAGACAUUGAGGUCACUUGUGGAAACCAGAUGGCUAGGAGGGCAGGGAUGGGAUAGGCCUCAGGGACCAGUUCUUGAUGUAGUAUAUAACUGCUUGCUUAAGGAGAGCCAGAAAGGGGACUUCCUGUUGUCACCUACUCCCAGGGAGCAGCGGGGUGCAGAGCCAGCCUCUGAAAGUCUCCCUUGUUCUCUACUUGUUCAGGCUGGCCCUGGGAGGGUUGACUCCAAAGACCCGGGAUGUAGGUGAUAACUCCACGAAGGUGACAUCUGCACUUGCAAGCAGCAGGUGACACUUUGAAGACUUUGAAGACCCAACCUCAAGAGAGUGGGUUGCCAUACCCUUGGGGCCCUAAGUCUCUUUUACCCUGCCUCCCUCCCUCUCCUAGUAAGUUGGGGGCUUAAAGCAGAGGGCACAACAGGUAGAG